rnacentral:rRNA from 1 species
UGGGGGAUAUUGCACAAUGGAGGAAACUCUGAUGCAGCAACGCCGCGUGAGGGAAGAAGGUCUUCGGAUUGUAAACCUUAGUAGUCAGGGACGAAAGAAAUGACGGUACCUGAAGAGUAAGCUCCGGCUAACUACGUGCCAGCAGCCGCGGUAAUACGUAGGGAGCGAGCGUUGUCCGGAUUUACUGGGUGUAAAGGGUGCGUAGGCGGGACUGCAAGUCAGACGUGAAAUACCGGGGCUUAACCUCGGGGCUGCGUUUGAAACUGCGGUUCUUGAGUGAAGUAGANGCAGGCGGAAUUCCUAGUGUAGCGGUGAAAUGCGUAGAUAUUAGGAGGAACACCAGUGGCGAAGGCGGCCUGCUGGGCUUUAACUGACGCUGAAGCACGAAAGCAUGGGGAGCAAAC